UCACAAUCUGGUCACUUCUAUUAAAGAAACAUCAGUCAUCCUCCCCGUCUCGCCCUCACAUCUCUCCCAUUCCCCAUUCUCGCAUCGCCAGCUCCCUCCCUCCAUAGCCGGCGGUCCCAGGUCAGGCCGCCCCUCCCCUUUGUCACCAUAGCCGGCCCGAGCUUCGCAGCAACUGAUCUUCCGCCCCUGCAUGUCGAAUCUGGCCACGGAAGUGACCGAGGAGGCCCUCGAGCUUGGCAUGCUCGCGCCAGCUCCAGGCGCCGUCCGAGAAGGACGCUGAGGCGCGGGCCUCACACGCCCCUCCUCUGCCAUGCUCCUUCUUCGAAUCCAGUCGUCGAACUGCUCGAGAAGGCGCUCGAGCUUGGCAUGUUCGCCGGCGACGCCCGCCCCCUCCCUCCUCCUGAUGCCCCCGAUGUCGCAGCCAUGAGCCUCUCCAUCCUCUCCCGCGUGAUCGUCCGGGUCCAGUGUUCCGAAGAAAAUGAAUGUCAAAUGAAGUCCAAACGGAAUGAAACCUUCGGGAGCGAUCUUUUUGGAACAAACGUGAUCCAGGGGAUUUGGAGUGGACGUGAACCAACAGAGGAGGCGGCCACGAGGGUGCCCGGCGCGCCCUUUGAGCGUCCACCGACCUAUUUCUUCCUCCUAUAUAUACCCAUGUGUCCUGAAACCAUCGAGGAGCACCAUGAAAAACUAUUUUCACCAUCGUAACCUUCUGUAUCUGCGAGAUCCCAUCUUGGAGUCUUUGUCGGUGCUCCGCUGAAGGGGGAAUCGAUCAUGGAGGGCCUCUACAUCAUCUCCAAGGUCCUUUUGAUGAGUUGUGAGUAUUUUACCAUAAACCUUUGGGUUCAUAGUUAUUAGCUAGAUGGCUUUUUCUCUUUCUUUAAAUCUCAAUACAAAGUUUUCCUUGAUCUUCAUGUAGAUUUAUUCGAUGUAAUUCUUUUUGUGCUCUGUUUGUCGAGAUUCGAUAAAUUGUGGGUUUAUAAUCAAGUUUAUUUAUGAGAAAUACUUGAAUUUCCUCUGAAUUCUUUUAUGUAUGAUUGAGUUAUCUUUGCAAGUCUUUUCGAAUUAUCAGUUUGGUUUGGCCUAUUAAAUUGAUCUUUCUUGCAAUGGGAGAAGUGCUUAGCUUUGGUUUCAAUCUUGCGGUGUUCUUUCUCAGUGACAGCAGGGGCAGCAAAGCACGUAUUGUAUUGUUGCUAUCGAGGAUAAAAAGAUGGGUUUAUUUCAUAUUACAUGAGUUUAUCCCUCUCUAUCAUGUCAUCUUUUUUAAUGCUUUACUCUGUUUUUUGUGAACUUAAUACUCUAGAUGCAUGCUGGAUAACGGUCGAUGUGUGGAGUAAUAGUAGUAGAUGCAGGCAGGAGUCGGUCUACUUGUCAUAGACGUGAUGCCUAUAUACAUGAUUAUGCCUAGAUAAUCUCAUAACUAUGCGCUUUUCUAUCAAUUACUUGACAGUAAUUUGUUCACCC
rnacentral:rRNA from 1 species